UACGGAGGGUGCAAGCGUUAUCCGGAUUUAUUGGGUUUAAAGGGUCCGUAGGCGGAUCUGUAAGUCAGUGGUGAAAUCUCACAGCUUAACUGUGAAACUGCCAUUGAUACUGCAGGUCUUGAGUGUUAUUGAAGUAGCUGGAAUAAGUAGUGUAGCGGUGAAAUGCAUAGAUAUUACUUAGAACACCAAUUGCGAAGGCAGGUUACUAAGCAACAACUGACGCUGAUGGACGAAAGCCAGGGGAGCAAACGGG
rnacentral:rRNA from 1 species